rfam:Lingula anatina scaffold536, whole genome shotgun sequence.
CAAACGGUCCUUUUCAGAACCACUAAUAUCUCAAGAAAAGCUCUA